CAGCAUAUCUCCACCAGACUCCAUGUAAAUAAUCACAGUACUUUUAGCGUGUAUUGAGCCAGCAUAUUUUCACAGGUAAAUCGGUAUAUUAUGUGUUUAUUUCAACCAAAACUUGGUUGUGAUGGUUGGAAAAGUGGUGAGACGACCCAAAAACGGCUUUUCAUCGAUUCAUUUUGUUUCUGUCGACUUUGAAUGAAGUGUAUUUUACGACGCUAAAAUGACAGUUUAUUCACAUGGAGUCUGGUGGGUUUAGCGAACGCAAUUUGGGGGAUGUUUUUAAGUUUAA